rnacentral:misc_RNA from 1 species
AACGCACCUUGCGCUCCUUGGUAUUCCGAGGAGCAUGCCUGUUUGAGUGUCAUGAAAUUCUCAACCUACAAAGUCUUUGCGGGCUUCGCUAGGAUUGGACUUGGAGGCUUUUGUCGGUCGGUUUCAAAUCGGUCGGCUCCUCUUAAACGCAUUAGCUUGAUUCCUUGCGGAUCGGCUCUCGGUGUGAUAAUUGUCUACGCCGUGACCGUGAAGCGUUUGGCGAGCUUCUAACCGUCUCGUAUAUGAGACAGCUUAUUAUGACCUCUGACCUCAAAUCAGGUAGGACUACCCGCUGAACUUAA